ensembl:lncRNA
AACUAUUUAUAUAUGUAUUUAUUCUUUUCACAUCACACCAGGCAAAUAAAGCAACCAAGGCAUUCCAUAAUAUUUUAAAAAGAUGCUUUCUGACUUUUAGUGAAUUGUGGAAAAUAAAUAAAAACCCUGAAAAUAUUAUAUUAAAUAAAAGCAAAUAAAACGAAAUAAACAAACCUAUUCCAUGUAACAAUACAUUGAAACAACUGUUUCACAGAUCACAGUAGGUUAAGUGCCACAUUCUUUUAGAAAAUAAAAGAUAUUUUUUCUGAAGUAUGCAAAACAUAUACUGGUGCAUAGGCCACAAUUCAUAUUUUUGAAACUUGGAAUUGCUGUUGCUGACAGCUUAUAGCUGCUGCUGAUAGCCUAAUAAUGCUGCAUGCAAUGGCCUGCUAUUCAUAGUAAGUAGACCUAAAUUAUUUUGGAUUCAGUAGAAUCUCUUAAACGUACAUUCUGGGCUUACAAAAACUUUAACGUCUCAUGCAGGCCACCAUUUAUCACAAAUGUAAAAAAAAAAAGUGAUGACACAUAGCAUCAUGACAAACUGAUACAAGUUUUUAAAAGAAAAAAACAGUAUUCAUAACUUUGAGCCCCCCGGUAAAAUGCAAAAGGUACCUCAUAUUUCACAGUUAUUGAACUGGCAUCACAGAAAAAAAAAAAUCUCACCAUGUUAGGAUGACUUUUCAAUUGCAAUGUUCACAGUGUCCCCCUAGCUGCAGACUAAUAGGCAUGAUAACUGGGGGAAAGGAUGAAAGAUAUAUAUUAGAACAACAUGGAGUCGCUCAGAGAUCAACAAGUUUAAAAGAUGACGUAAGGCACAGAGGUAGAGAUGAAUGUCUAGAGGUAGAACAACAGAGAGGAGAUGGAGAGGAUUAAAGAAGAGUAGAGUGUUGUUCUUGGUCCUCUUGUCAAGGUUCAAUGAUAGAUAGAUAGAUGGAUACUUUAUUAAUCCCGAGGGAAAUUUAGGUGAUAAAUCAUAGCCAUCUAGAGGAGUAAAGAAGAGUAGAGUGUUGUUCUUGGUCCUCUUGUCAAGGUUCAAGGAUAGGUGUAGAAUUCUCCCGCCAUCUCUUUCCAGCUAUCAUGAAAAAAUAAAAAAUAAAACAGAAAGAUAAAUUGAAGCUAAAAUAUUACUGAUGAAAUUAUUAUUAUAAGUAUUAUUACUCCUGCUACAUUUUCACAGUUACUAUUAAAGGAGCAAUAAAGUCAAAUAUCAAACUCCUUACCUGGUUUUAAGAAAGCGCGUGCAAUAAACAGCACACUUAUAGCCAAAAUGAUGAAGAUGAAGGCAAGGAAGACUGGAACAGCGCCCAACCUUAUGAGCCAAACAACAGGAACAUGUCUCACACUGCAGACUGACUAUUAUCUCAACCAUUUUGAUUCAAGUUGUAAAAACAGAUAUUGCCACUAAAGGCCUUCUACUUUAUAUAAUGUAGACUUACAUGGUUACUCUUUGGAAGUGGUUUCUGGUUGAUGGCGUGGACAUAAUUGUUGGUGGAGUAGUUGUCACUAAAAAAAGAAAAAAUAGUUACAUGCAUCAUCUUGGUAGGACUAUGUAUGUGCUACUGCAGAACUCACGUGACAAGCCAACAGAAAUAGUACAAGGGUUUGUUUAUACACGCUCAGGGUAAACCUUAAAUCAAAUCUCAUUAUUUAGAGUUUGUUGGCAUUAUUUCAUGAUUUACUGAUAUCAUCUCGCCAAUCGUGUUCAGUAUCUUUCGCUUGGCAGGAAAUCAAUUGUAAAAAUCAUGCAUUAUGCUUAAAGCAACCACUACAAAAAAGCAACACAUGUAUUCAAACAGAUUGUUCUAUGGAGAAAUAAUGUCAAAAUCUUUUACUAAAAUGUUCGGUUUGUUUGUUUUGUUUGAUCCUCUGUCUUCCUACAUUCUGUUUUUUUUGUUGUUGUUUUGUUUUGUUUGUCUUUGCCCUAUGUUAAGCGUCUUUGAGUAUCUAGAAAAGCGCUAUAUAAAAAUAAAGUAUUAUUAUUAUUAUAGGAGCCACAGUACCUUUCUGACAACCGUGAAUGGAUGAUGUCCUAUAGCCAUCUUUACAGCCACACUGGGUGUCAGUCACACGGGUGCAAUUGGCCAGUAUUUUCUGGCCUUCUCCUGUGAAGGCAUUCAGAAAGGAGUGUUCAAAUGAAACCAAGAAAAUAUGACAUGUUACAAUAAAAAUGAAAGAUUUGCCUGACAUCUUCGAAAAGAGAAGAAUGAGAAAGGAAGAAAGAAACAUAUUGCAGCAAAAGUGAUAGCCCACUACAACAGACUACACACAAACAAAAUAUAUUGUGGGGAAAUAGUCAGACCAUGUUCAUGAGGUUGUUAGCCUGUACAACUGCUGGCUGAACUUUGAAACUAGUGGUGUUACUGUACAGAGAGUCUGUACUCAUAAACAGUGUCACCAUGCUCUUCUGCAACUGAGUGUUCAGAAGACAUACAAUGGCAACUAGUCGGUAUGCAUACAAAACACGCCUAGGCUAUUCUAGAUUAUGCUUUAACACAGAACAAAGCUUACCAUUGCACUUGGAGCAGUACGCACACUGAGUACUUGAAGUUGCGGUGCAUAUUCGUGUUAGGUACAUAUCUGCAGGAGACACAUCGGUCGUAUGAAUAAGGUGAUUAACCAUCACUUUACAGUCUUCAUUAGUAGAAUACACAUCCAUUCCAUUGCCAUUAUAGACAAACUUUCUUUUAGCUGACGAUUGAAUGCUAAAAAAGUUUACCCCGUUUCAGUGAAAGGCACUCACCUUCGCUACAGUAAAAGCAUGUCGUGCCAUUUAUGGUGAACAUUUCGGGUUCUUCGCACACAGUCUUAGAGAAUGCCAACAACAACACGGCGACCUAGUAGGGGAGACAUUUGUUUUAAAAAAGAAAGCAUGUUAAGAACACUGAGGAACAUAUAACUUAGACUGCAUACGCACCUGUAAAACGAGUUUACUGCCGCCUGUGGAAAAGUUGGGCAAUCCCAUUUUAGCGUGCGUUGGAUGGGUUCUCUCAAGACUCUGAGGAC